rnacentral:rRNA from 1 species
CAUAAUCAUUAGUCUUUUAAUUUAGGACUGGUAUGAAAGGUCAGACUAGGUAAUUUUGUCUUAUAGUAAUAUUUCGAAAUUUACUUUUUAGUAAAAAGGCUAAAAUUUUUUUUAGGGACAAGAAGACCCUAUUAAGCUUUACAAAGAAUUUUUACUUUUUCUCUGAGUAAAGAGUAUUUGUUUAACUGGGGCAGUAAAUGAAUGAUAAUUUUGUUUAAAAAUUAUGAAUWCUAUUCUUGUGAAAACGAAGAUUUUUCAAAUAGGAACAAGUUACUAUAGGGAUAACAGCGUAAUUCCUUUUAAGAGUUCACAUCAUCAAGGGAGUUUGCGACCUCGAUGUUGGAUUAAAAUGUCUAAAUCACGCAAUAG